rnacentral:rRNA from 1 species
AUGAUCCCAUUAAACAAAAGGUCUACCAUUAGGUCACUUGCCUGGCGACUGGGGUGUAGCCCUACCACACUUCAUAGAAAGUUCAUGUUAAACUUGAUAAAGAGGCAUACAAACUGUGUGAAGCCAGCUCUAAAGGACCAGAAUAAGAAGGAUAGGAUGAAAUUUUGUUUGUCGAUGCUUGAUGAGGCAACAACAGCAACACCAAGGCCUAAGUUCAAGACUAUGCAUAAUGUUGUCCAUAUUGACAAGAAGUGGUUCAACAUGACCAAGAAGAAUAGAACCUAUUAUCUGCUGGACGGGGAGGAAGAGCCUACGAGGCCUAUACAUGGCAACUCUAUUGGAAAGGUGAUGUUCUUGACGGCCGUUGCUAGGCCGAGGUGGGACAGUGAAGGAAAUGUGACCUCGGUAUCUAGCCAUUCGUGA